GUCUGUGUUAGUGAACACUUCUCCUUUGCCAAGAUAAUCCAUCCACCUCACAGUCUGCACAUCUUAGAGUGGCCUUUUAUUGUGGCCAGCCUAAGGCACACAUUUGCAAUAGUCAUGCUGUCUAAUCAGCAUCUUGGUAUGCCACACCUGUGAGGUGGAUGGAUUAUCAUGGCAAAGGAGAAGUGCUCACUAACACAGAU